ACCAGACUCCUACGGGAGGCAGCAGUGGGGAAUAUUGCACAAUGGGGGAAACCCUGAUGCAGCAACGCCGCGUGAGUGAAGAAGUAUUUCGGUAUGUAAAGCUCUAUCAGCAGGGAAGAAGAAGGACGGUACCUGACUAAGAAGCCCCGGCUAACUACGUGCCAGCAGCCGCGGUAAUACGUAGGGGGCGAGCGUUAUCCGGAUUUACUGGGUGUAAAGGGAGCGUAGACGGUUAAUCAAGUCUGAAGUGAAGCCCGCGGCUCAACUGCGGAACGGCUUUGGAAACUGAGUAACUGGAGUGCUGGAGGGGCAGGCGGAAUUCUUGGUGUAGCGGUGAAAUGCGUAGAUAUCAGGAGGAACACCGGUGGCGAAGGCGGCCUGCUGGACAGUAACUGACGUUGAGGCUCGAAAGCGUGGGGAGCAAACAGGAUUAGAUACCCCCGUA
rnacentral:rRNA from 1 species